UACGUAGGUGGCAAGCGUUGUCCGGAAUUAUUGGGCGUAAAGCGCGCGCAGGCGGUCCUUUAAGUCUGAUGUGAAAGCCCACGGCUCAACCGUGGAGGGUCAUUGGAAACUGGGGGACUUGAGUGCAGAAGAGGAAAGCGGAAUUCCACGUGUAGCGGUGAAAUGCGUAGAUAUUUGGAGGAACACCGGUGGCGAAGGCGGCUAUCUGGAUGAGUAUUGACACUGAGGCUCGAAAGCGUGGGGAUCAAACAGG
rnacentral:rRNA from 1 species